GUGGGGAAUAUUGGACAAUGGGCGCAAGCCUGAUCCAGCCACGCCGCGUGUGUGAUGAAGGUCUUCGGAUCGUAAAGCACUGUGGAGAGGGACGAAAAGCAUCGGGCUAAUACCUCGGUGCCCUGACGGUACCUCUUUAGCAAGCACCGGCUAACUCCGUGCCAGCAGCCGCGGUAAUACGGAGGGUGCAAACGUUGCUCGGAAUCAUUGGGCGUAAAGCGCGUGUAGGCGGCCAUGCAAGUCGAGUGUGAAAGCCCUGGGCUCAACCCAGGAAGUGCGCUCGAAACUGCACGGCUUGAGUACGGGAGAGGGUAGCGGAAUUCCCGGUGUAGAGGUGAAAUUCGUAGAUAUCGGGAGGAACACCAGUGGCGAAGGCGGCUACCUGGACCGAUACUGACGCUGAGACGCGAAAGCGUGGGGAGCAAACAGGAUUAGAUACCCCGGUAGUCC
rnacentral:rRNA from 1 species